AACCCAAGAAGGAGAAGCGCAAGAACAGUGGUGAUGUGAUUGCUGGACCAUUAGAGAAGUAUAUAGAGUUGAAGAAAAGGCAAGUAGAUGAUGAAGCUACAUAUUUGGCCAAUGAAAAGGCAGAUGCAACAAAAUUACAUGAAUUCUCUAUCACCAAAUGCAUGGAUGUGUUGAAAAAAAUGAAGGAUGUGACCCGCAUCGAGAAGAUCAAAGCAUUCAACGUCUUCAAGGAUGCUGCAAACCGUGAGAUUUUCAUCAAUGCCGCUGAUGAUGAUAAAGAUACUGCUGUUAUGUGGCUUCAGAGCCAAAUGUCCCCAUGAGCCUGCAGCUAUGAGAUCGUUGCACUGGCAACAAGCACCCAAUGAAGAAAAGCGCAGUCGUUGUUAGCCCCUUAGAUCUGCCAGAAAGUGGUUCAUCUCAUAAACUGGCAUUUUACCAGCACUCGUUUUGAGCCUUCUGCUGAUCUUAUGUCAUGUAAAAUAAAGCAAACUAGGUUGACCUUAUUUGGGAGUCGCUUUCUAUUUUCAAUGCCUACUUGUUGCACAAA